AGGGGCGCGGGGCGGGGCAGGCUCGCCCCGCCCCUUCCCUACCCCCUUCUUUGGGCCCCAGCUCCCGGCCUCCUCGCCGGCUCCUGCUCCAUCUCCGCCUGUUGCAGACUCCUGGGCGCACCUUGUGAAAGACACCAGUCCAGGACUUCACUCUUUCGGGAUCCUGGGCGGCCGCGGGCAAAGAACCUAGGGGACUCAGCUGAGACGGAAGGUCAUCCUGACCCGGAGGCCACUUCGAGUCGAUGACCAGAUAAAGAAAAUGUGGUGUAUAUUUGGUAUAUCAUUCCAGUGGAAUAUUAUUCGGCCAUAAAAAGAAAAUCCUUUCAUUUGUGAAAAUGUGAGUGGACCUCGAGGACACUAUACUGAGUGAACUCCCUGUACUUGGACAAAGUACCUCCUGUAAGCUUCUCCGUUCUGAAAUCACUGCGGAGGCCUCGGGCCACACAACUGAGAAAACGCACACGAGGGACGGUUACUGCGGCCUGAAAAGGAACGGCUUUGUUACCGGGUGGGCAGCCGAGCCCAACCCCCCUGCCCCCGGAAACCGUGGUGACGUCACCACGCGACAGCGUCCCCAUAGGGCUUCAAAGGAACCUCUUGCAUUGUGGGAAAGGGGUGCACACGCUCAGAUUUGAGUGCACUCGGUCUAGCAUCCGCACGGGUGUCUGGAACACUUGUUUCUCCCUCCUGUACAAACAGCUCUCCCUUCUGGGAAGAAGGGAGACGUUCCCAUUUCCGGGGCGCAAGGAGAUUCGAGGAAAGGCGUCCAGUCCAGGGGCCGCUAAUCAUAACGGGCCUCACCCCGAGCCUGAAGCUCGUCAGAGGCUCACGUGACUCACUGAUGCUACUAUUUACUGCCCACCUGCCCAAGCGCCUCGUGACUUUCGGUCGCUCGCUACUUUACUCUUCAUUGUGGUAAUAUCUUUAUAAGCAGUACCUUUACUAUCGUUCUACUUCCCCACCCACCUAGGUCCCGGUCCCCAGGCACACGCAGAGCCCACGGCUGGCUCCUGCAGUAAGUCUCCCAGACCCCACUUCUUUUCUUCCUCGGGGGUGCAGAGGUGCGCGCGCAGCUGUCUGCCCCUCGUGGGCGCUGAAGGACAAGGUAAUCCCGGAACUGGCGGUCAGGGGAGUCGAGACAGGCAGUUUUCGCUCGCGUAUGUUGAGACUGCUGCGGUUGGUAUCCAGAAGGUGGGAGGAAGUGGGUGUCACAGGCAGGGUGGCGGUCCUAGAGACUCGUGCGUCUGCUGCUCUGGAGAGAUCCUGAGGUGGAACAGGGAUCCGCGCAUGCCUGUGGUUUGCUGUUUUAUUUGAACAUGUUUUCUGCCCUGGCUGAUGUGGCUCAGUGGAUUGAGUGCCGGCAGAAAGGUCACCAGUUCAAUUCCUUGUCAGGGCACCUCAUGCCUGGGUCUGACACCCCCCCAACUCCCAAGUUCCAGUUGGGACACUGAAAGAAGCAACUGAUGUGUUCCUGUUUCUCUUCCUCUUUUUCCCUCCCUUCCCCUCCCUCUAAAAAUAAAUAAAAUAAUACAAAAAAGAGAACAUAUUUUUCUUCAAGUACUACCUUGUCACUACCAACGAAACAAGUCAUACCUGACUUUUAGAAGAACAAGAAUAUCCUUACUAGAAUUAAGACCAUUUCAAAGUGAAGUUGUCUCUGCUCCAGACAUUCAACCAUGAAAUUCCUGUGCUAGCAAAUACAGAUGAGGCUGUUUCAUCAUUUCAAAUGUCAUAAAUAAGAAAAUUCUUGAAAAUAAACACAAAGCUGCCUAUUUAGCUUUUACCUAAGUAUAGCUUGUUGGAAAACAUUUUUAUGAACUAGUCUAGCACACUGUGAAAUGUGUAUUGAAUGAAUGAAUGGCUCCUCUAUGUGAGGUUUAAAGAUCAAAUACAUGAUUUAUCUGACCAAUGCACAUGGUGGUAGCCUUGCGUAAAUGCU